rnacentral:rRNA from 1 species
ACUUAAAUUGAAGAGUUUGAUCAUGGCUCAGAUUGAACGCUGGCGGCAGGCCUAACACAUGCAAGUCGAGCGGUAGCACAGAGAGCUUGCUCUCGGGUGACGAGCGGCGGACGGGUGAGUAAUGUCUGGGAAACUGCCUGAUGGAGGGGGAUAACUACUGGAAACGGUAGCUAAUACCGCAUAACGUCGCAAGACCAAAGUGGGGGACCUUCGGGCCUCAUGCCAUCAGAUGUGCCCAGAUGGGAUUAGCUAGUAGGUGGGGUAACGGCUCACCUAGGCGACGAUCCCUAGCUGGUCUGAGAGGAUGACCAGCCACACUGGAACUGAGACACGGUCCAGACUCC